UUCCCCCAGUAACGGCGAGUGAAGAGGGAAAAGCCCAAAUUUGUAAUCUGGCUGCAAGGUCAGAGUUGUAAUUUCAAGAGCUGUUUUCAGUGCUGGCCCAUUCAUAAGUUUGUUGGAAAACAACAUCAGUGAGGGUGAUAAUCCCGUUGAUGGUAUGGCAACCAGUGCAAUAUGAGGCAGUUUCUAAGAGUCGAGUUGUUUGGGAAUGCAGCUCAAAGUGGGUGGUAAAUUCCAUCUAAGGCUAAAUAUUGAUGAGAGACCGAUAGCAAACAAGUACCGUGAGGGAAAGAUGAAAAGAACUUUGGAAAGAGAGUUAACAGUAUGUGAAAUUGUUAAAAGGGAAACACUUGAAGUUAGACUUGUUAUUGCUAGGUCAAACCCGUGCUCAGGGGAGAACUCUAGUGGUUAACAGAUCAACAUCAAUUCAGAGUGCUGGAUAAGGGCAGUGGAAAAGUGGCAGUCUUUGACUGUGUUAUAGUCCAUGGCUUGAUGUGGUGCUUUGGAUUGAGGAAGGCAGUGAGCCGUAAGGUGGAUUCCUAAGGGRGUCUUCUCACUGAGGAUGUUGAUGUAAUAGCUUUAAAUGACCCGUCUUGAAACACGGACCAAGGAGUCUAACAUGCUUGCGAGUAUUUGGGUGAUAGAAACCCUUGUGCGGAAUGAAAGUAAAUGUAAAUGGGAUCUGUCAAAGGAGCACCAUUGACCAGUCCUGAUUAUAUAUAUGACGGUACUGAGUAAGAGCAAGUAUGUUGGGACCCGAAAGAUGGUGAACUAUGCCUGAAUAGGGUAAAGCCAGAGGAAACUCUGGUGGAAGCUCGUAGCGGUUCUGACGUGCAAAUCGAUCGUCAAAUUUGGGUAUAGGGGCGAAAGACUAAUCGAACCAUCUAGUAGCUGGUUCCUGCCGAGGUUU
rnacentral:rRNA from 1 species